AGCGAACGCUGGCGGCAGGCUUAACACAUGCAAGUCGAGCAGACCUUUCGGGGUCAGCGGCGGACGGGUGAGUAACGCGUGGGAACGUGCCUUCCGGUUCGGAAUAACCCUGGGAAACUAGGGCUAAUACCGGAUACGCCCUUAUGGGGAAAGGUUUACUGCCGGAAGAUCGGCCCGCGUCUGAUUAGCUAGUUGGUGGGGUAACGGCCUACCAAGGCGACGAUCAGUAGCUGGUCUGAGAGGAUGAUCAGCCACACUGGGACUGAGACACGGCCCAGACUCCUACGGGAGGCAGCAGUGGGGAAUAUUGGACAAUGGGCGCAAGCCUGAUCCAGCCAUGCCGCGUGAGUGAUGAAGGCCUUAGGGUUGUAAAGCUCUUUUAUCCGGGACGAUAAUGACGGUACCGGAGGAAUAAGCCCCGGCUAACUUCGUG
rnacentral:rRNA from 1 species